GACGAACGCUGGCGGCGUGCUUAACACAUGCAAGUCGAACGGAAAGGCCCUGCUUUUGUGGGGUGCUCGAGUGGCGAACGGGUGAGUAACACGUGAGUAACCUGCCCUUGACUUUGGGAUAACUUCAGGAAACUGGGGCUAAUACCGGAUAGGAGCUCCUGCGGCAUGGUCGGGGUUGGAAAGGUUCGGCGGUUGGGGAUGGACUCGCGGCUCUUCAGCUUGUUGGUGGGGUAGUGGCUUACAAAGGCUUCGACGGGUAGCCGGCCUGAGAGGGUGACCGGCCACAUUGGGACUGAGAUACGGCCCAGACUCCGACGGGAGGCAGCAGUGGGGAAUAGUGCGCAAUGGGCGGAAGCCGGAUGCAGCAACGCCGCGUGCGGGAUGACGGCCUUCGGGUUGUAAACCGCUUUCGCCUGUUACGAAGCGGGAGUGACGGUAGUGGGUAAAGAAGCACCGGCUAACUACGUG
rnacentral:rRNA from 1 species